rnacentral:rRNA from 1 species
GACGUAGGAUGCGAGCGUUGUCCGGAAUCAUUGGGCGUAAAGAGUUCGUAGGCGGUAUAUCAAGUCUGGUGUUAAAGUCCGGAGCUCAACUUCGGGAAGGCACUGGAAACUGAUAAACUAGAGUGCAGUAGAGGCAAGGGGAAUUCCUAGUGUAGCGGUGAAAUGCGUAGAUAUUAGGAGGAACACCGGUGGCGUAAGCGCCUUGCUGGGCUGUUACUGACGCUGAGGAACGAAAGCCAGGGGAGCGAAUGGG